rnacentral:rRNA from 1 species
UACGUAGGUGGCAAGCGUUGUCCGGAAUUAUUGGGCGUAAAGCGCGCGCAGGUGGCUUCUUAAGUCUGAUGUGAAAGCCCACGGCUCAACCGUGGAGGGUCAUUGGAAACUGGGGAACUUGAGUGCAGAAGAGGAAAGUGGAAUUCCAAGUGUAGCGGUGAAAUGCGUAGAGAUUUGGAGGAACACCAGUGGCGAAGGCGACUUUCUGGUCUGUAACUGACACUGAGGCGCGAAAGCGUGGGGAGCGAACAGG